UACGAAGGGGGCUAGCGUUGUUCGGAUUUACUGGGCGUAAAGCGCACGUAGGCGGAUCGUUAAGUCGGGGGUGAAAUCCUGGAGCUCAACUCCAGAACUGCCUUCGAUACUGGCGAUCUUGAGUCUGGAAGAGGUGAGUGGAACUCCUAGUGUAGAGGUGGAAUUCGUAGAUAUUAGGAAGAACACCAGUGGCGAAGGCGGCUCACUGGUCCGGUACUGACGCUGAGGUGCGAAAGCGUGGGGAGCAAACAGG
rnacentral:rRNA from 1 species